UUAGAUCAGUCCUCACACAUUGCAUGAUUAGGAUCUAAUUAAAUUGUGGGAUGGGAAGUAGAUGAGGUAGUACCUAUUACCUGUUUAUUAUGAAACCUUUGGGAGUUACUUCUACGUUUGCUUAUUAUGCCAUGCUAUGCUAGUAGACGUGGAUUGGGUGAGUGAUAUCCAUGACAGAUGUGAGUUUGAUAAUUUUAAUGGUUUAUCUAAGGUGGCAACUUAAACACACAUCUGGGUCGAUUGAGGCACCUGGUUUCUAUCAGGACUUGCCUGUUUUUCUUUGGACCGCCACCCAGGCUCAAAGGGAUCAUAAGAUCAUUCAUGCUAGUAACUUCCCUGUGCAGCCACAAGCCAUUAUGGGCUCUGGCAUAGUUUACUAAGUCGUGCGAACUCUUACAGUGGUACACUAGCAGAUGUAGGGGAUGUAGGUGGUACGGUCUACCCGAUCGUAAGGUGCUAGCACUUCUGAAAGACUAUGUCUCGGUCAUCCGUUUCUCAAACACCAUGUAGUGCGAGAAAUCCAACACAGGCGAUCGAGUCUUGUGGGGAAAAGUGCGCAAACCUCUGCAGAGUGUAAUAAACUAAUCAUGAUUAGUCGUGUCCCCGGUUAUGGACAACUUGAGUAUCUAGUACUUGAAUAUCAUGUGAAUCUCAUCAUGUUACUUCUAAUUAAUAUUGUUGGGUUUUAAUUGUUCACUUAAUUGGGAUCGGAAUGCUGUCAACCAUUCUCGAUGUUCAACUACCAUGAUAGUCAAAUAAAUUUAUUCCUUUGCAGUAGGGAGAAAAUGGCUUUACGCAAAACUGUAACCAUAGAGCUUUCCACUAGCCAUACAUGCAUAUAGUAUAGCUCAUUACUGUUCAUUACCCUCUAUGUGUUACAUUGCCAGCAUAUUCCAUGUGCUGACCCGUUUUCGGGCUGCAACUUUCAUGUUGCAGACUUUUCAGACGACGAGUAAGGUGCUUUUAGGUCGUGGUUCUAUACUCAGUGAUGCCGUUGGAGUUGAUGGACCCAUUUAUCUUCCAAGUCUUCCGCUGUUAUCGAUAUUAGAUGGCCUUAAGCCAUAUUUCUUGUAAUAAGUUCUCUUGGAGACAUUGAUGUAAUAAGUGUGUGAUUGCUACUCUGCUAUAAAUCCUUCAAAGUACUGUGUGGUGUCAGCAUUACUGAUCCAGGGAUGACACCGGAGCACAGAGACUUGAUCCAUUCGGGUCGGGUCGCUCCAGAGAUGGUAUCGGAGCACACGCUGACUGUAGGACACGACCACUAAGUUAAAGCCAUAGAUCACUAUUCUCUUCUCAUUUUCUAACUCCUCAUCUUUUCUACUCUUUUAGGAUGACGGACGCGAAGAUCAAGUACGCUCAACCAGAUGAAGGCACACCUUUUGGAUUUCACUUGAAGGAAGUCACCAAGUACCUGAACAUUGGACUACCAAGCUUCACGGGAACCUUCAACGCCACUCUGCCUAAAGAGGAGCGCUGGAAGAUUCAACCUCGCGUUCCGGGAAGGACAUUCGCGCCAAUCACGAAGCCCAUAGAUAGUGUUUUCAGUGCACCAAGCCGGAGUCUGGGAAAGAGCAUGGCAGCUCAUAUCACCAUGGGACGCAUUGGAGAAGUUUACCAGGAAGACCUCAAGGACACUAUCUACCAGAUUUGCAGACGCCGAGAUGAACAAUGGGAGUUAGUCAGCACCAAGAAGGAUAGAUCCAUUGCAGCUUUCAUCCAGGAGUUAAACCAGCACAUUCGACGCCACGAGAACCAGAUGUGCAAUGAUAUGAUAGAGUUGAAGAAUGCGAAGGCAAGGAUCAUCGAGCUAGAAGGAGAACUGAAGUCUACACGCUAGGACUACAUGGACGAAAUCGUAGCUCUAGCAAGGCACAAUGGCGAUCUUAAGCAGGAGAUUGAAGAACUCAAGGAGAAGUUAGCAUCCAGGAAGGAAGACAUGUACGUCGCAUGUCCGGACAACUACAUCAUCAUCGACGACACCGAUUCGGAUCCAAGUGAACCCGACUUUGAAGACGAGGCUGGAGCAGAUAUCAUGGAGUCUUCCACCGAUUCAAAUUUCUAGAUGACCACCAAAUAUUAGUAGUAUUUCCCCCAUGUAUACAUUAUAGUUCGAGCACUUUUGCGAUAGUUCUAGACCCUUUGUAAGCCCAUGUUUGAAUUGAAUGAAGUGAUUUUGUGUGCAUUUGCUCAUGUGCAUUGGGGUAGUGUUUUCUCUUUAGACCUCACUCUAUUCUUAAUUCUCGUCUUUUCUAAACCCUCAGAUGCCUCCGAGACGUGACAAUGGAUUUCCACCGGAGCUCACUCAGUUGAUCCAGCAGCAGAAUCAAUUGAUGCAGAUGUUAGUCCAGAACCAGCAAAACAAUAACAACAACAACCCACCACCACCACCACCACCUGUUGACCACUUAGCCCGUUUCCUUAGGCUGAAUCCGCCGGUGUUUUCCAGUAGCACCGAGCCAAUAGUAGCAGACGAUUGGCUCCGCAAGAUAGGAAGGGAGUUAACCACGACUGGAUGCACAGAUGGUGAGAAAGUGAAGUUUGCCGCACUUCAGCUUGACGGACCCAUGGUAGCAUGGUGGGAGAAUUUCACAGCCACUUACCCAGUUGACACUAUCACAUGGGAUCAUUUUCAGCAAGCUUUCCGCACUGCCCAUGUUUCAGCAGGAGCUAUGGCCAUGAAGAAGCGUGAGUUUCGCAACUUACGCCAAGGAGGAAGGACAGUUGGCCAGUAUGUUGACGACUUCAGCAAGUUAGCACGUUAUGCCCCAGAUGACGUUGCUACGGAUGCAGCUAAGCAGGAGAAGUUUCUGGAAGGACUGAAUGAUGAGCUAAGCAUGCAGUUGAUGGUAGCAAGUUUCAACAACUACCAGGAGUUGGUAGAUCAUGCCAUCAUGAUUGAAGGGAAGCAACAGCAGAUUGAGAACCGCAAGAGGAAGUAUGGACAGGGGAAGUAUAACUCUGGAGCCCAGCAGAAGCCCCAUUUUGCCCCUAAACAGGGAUUUCAGUUUCAGCAUACCCAUGGAGGAGGUAGUUCGCACAACCAUAAUGGCCACAAGAAUGGUAAUGGGAAUGGAGGAAGCAAUGGCCAGAACCGUACCACCCCAUCAACCCCAGCCAAGAGAGACCUAAGUCAAGUCACCUGUUUCAAGUGUUCCAAGACCGGACAUUAUGCCAAUGAAUGUCCUGAAGGCCAGAAUGGAAAUGGCAAUGGAAGCUCUGGGAAGAAGCCGAACCCUUUCAAUAGGGGAAAGGUGAACCACGUUAAUGUGGAGGAGGUUGAAGAUCAGCCUGAUGCAGUAAUCGGUAAGUUUCUGGUUAAGUCAUUUACCGCACUUGUUCUUUUUGAUACUGGUGCAUCGCAUUCAUACAUAUCAAGGGGGUUUGUGGAUAAGUAUAACCUACCAACCCAAGCCCUUAGGUCACCCAUGUUAGUAACCUCGCCCGGAGCAGAGUAUGUGGCUAAUCUAUGGUAUGAUCGGUUACCAUUAAGGAUUGGUAACUAUGUGUUUCCCUCAGACCUAAUAGUAUUGGAAUCUCAAGGAUUGGAUGUAAUAUUAGGCAUGGAUUUGUUAUCAAAGUAUGAAGGGAACAUUGAAUGCGCUAGUAAGUCAAUUUUGCUUACCACACCAGAAGGAAGAAGGAUCAAGUAUGUAUCCCGGCAUGUGCCAAAUAGGACGCAAGUAAAUUCUUUAUCAGGAGUUGUGCAGGAAGAAGUACCAGUGGUGAAGGAUUACCCUGAUGUAUUUCCUAAGGAAUUGCCAGGAAUGCCACCGGAUAGAGACAUUAAGUUUUUGAUUGAGUUAUUGCCAGGUACAGGCCCAAUAUCGAAGCGACCAUACCGGAUGCCAGCAAAGGAUUUGGUAGAAAUUAAGAAUCAGAUUAAGGAGUUACUGGAGAAAGGUUACAUUCGCCCAAGUUCUUCGCCUUGGGGAUCACCCGUACUUCUAGUGGAGAAGAAGGAUGGAUCAUUAAGGAUGGUUGUUGAUUACCGUGGAUUGAAUGAAGUAACCAUCAAGAACAAGUACCCACUGCCAAUGAUUAAUGAUCUGUUUGAUCGUUUGCAAGGAGCUAAAGUGUUUUCCAAGAUCGAUUUGCGAUCAGGGUACCAUCAGUUGAAGAUUCGAGAGCAGGACAUACCUAAGACAGCAUUCACCACGAGAUACGGAUUGUACGAAUAUACCAUUAUGUCAUUUGUACUGACUAACGCACCUGCCUAUUUCAUGAACCUGAUGAACAAGGUGUUUAUGGAGUUUUUGGAUAAGUUCGUCGUGGUUUUCAUCGAUGACAUCCUGGUUUAUUCAAAGAAUGAAGAGGAGCAUAAGGAACAUUUGCGUUUGGUUUUGGAGAAACUAAGGGAACAUCAGUUAUAUGCCAAAUUCAGCAAGUGUGAGUUUUGGUUAAAGGAAGUUGGAUUACUUGGACAUGUUAUAUCCGGAGAAGGGAUAGCAGUUGACCCCACAAAGGUUGAGACCGUAACCGAAUGGGAAGCACCAACGACAGUUGGAGAGAUCCAGAGUUUUCUUGGACUCGCAGGAUACUACCGGCGAUUUAUUGAGAACUUUUCAAAGAUUGCAAAGCAUAUGACUGAAUUGUUGAAGAAGGAUACUAAGUUCAAAUGGACUGAGGAGUGUGAGGCUAGUUUCCAGGAGUUGAAGAAACGUUUGGUUACCUCACCAGUGUUGAUUUUGCCAGAUCAGACCAAGGAUUAUGAGGUGUAUUGCGACGCUUCACGUCGAGGACUUGGAGCAGUGCUUAUGCAGGAAGGGAGAGUUGUUUCAUAUGCUUCACGAUAACUGAAGCAGCAUAUGUUGAAUUAUGCCAUGCAUGAUUUGGAGUUAGCAGCCGUAGUGCAUGCAUUGAAGACGUGGAGACAUUUGCUCAUUGGGAAUCAUUGUGAGGUGUACACGGAUCACAAGAGUUUGAAGUACAUUUUCACGCAGAAGGAGUUGAACCUCAAACAAAGGAGAUGGUUGGAGCUCAUCAAGGAUUAUGAUAUGAGAUUGCAUUAUCACCCCGGAAAAGCUAAUGUAGUAGCUGACGCAUUGAGCCGUAAGAGCCAUGUCAACACACUAAUGACGGGAGAAGUACCAAAGGAAUUAGCAAAAGAUCUUCGUGAGCUAUGUUUGGAGAUAGUUCCAAGAGGCUAUGUAGCAGAGUUGGAGAUUCAGUCAACAUUGAUGGAUAAAAUCAGAGAGGCUCAGAAAUCUGACAAGGAGAUUGCUUCUAUAAAGGAGAAACUGAGCAAAGGAAAAGCAAAGGGAUUUCGUGAGGAUGAGCACGAUACCCUAUGGUUUGAGGACCGUGUUUAUGUGCCGAAUGACCCGGAGAUCAGGAAGUUGAUUCUGCAAGAGGCACAUGAUUCACCCUAUUCGAUUCACCCAGGAAAUACCAAGAUGUAUUUGGAUUUGAAGGAAACAUUCUGGUGGACCGGAAUGAAGAAGGAUAUUGCAGCAUAUGUAGCAGUUUGUGAUGUAUGUCAUAGAGUGAAGGCAGAACAUCAGAAGCCAGCCGGAUUGUUACAACCAUUGUCGAUACCCGAAUGGAAGUGGGAUAAGAUAGGCAUGGAUUUUAUCACAGGACUACCCAGGACGAAGGCAGGCUAUGACUCGAUAUGGGUAGUAGUUGAUCGUUUGACCAAGGUAGCACAUUUUAUUCUAGUUAAGACCACUUACACCAGUGCUAAGUUGGCAAAGAUAUACAUGACUAGGAUCAUUUGUUUGCAUGGAGUUCCGAGGAGUAUCGUAUCAGAUAGAGGAACCCAAUUUACCUCAAAGUUUUGGAAUCAGUUGCAUGAGACUUUGGGUACGAGACUAGAGUUCAGCACAGCUUUUCAUCCGCAGACAGAUGGACAGACCGAGAGAGUCAAUCAGAUUUUGGAAGAUAUGCUGAGAGCUUGUGCAAUAGAUUAUGGAUCUAGUUGGGACGAUAACCUGCUGUAUGCGGAAUUUUCCUAUAACAACAGUUACCAAACCAGUUUGAAGAUGGCACCUUUCGAAGCUUUAUACGGAAGGAGGUGCAGGACACCAUUGUCAUGGGACGAAGUUGGAGACCGUCAGUUCUUUGGACCAGAUUUGAUUAAAGAGUCUGAACAGAAGGUGAAGUUGAUUCGCGAUAGGCUCAAGGUAGCCCAGUUCAGGCAGAAGAGCUACGCAGAUUCUAAACGCAAGGAGACAGUUUACGAAACCGGAGACAGAGUUUAUCUUCGAGUAUCCCCACUUCGAGGAGUCAAGCGUUUUGGAGUUAAGGGAAAAUUAGCACCGUGUUUCGUUGGACCGUAUAAGAUCUUGCAAUGUAUGGGAGAAGUCGCUUAUAAGUUGGAAUUACCAGAGGGACUGUCAGGAGUUCAUGAUGUAUUCCAUGUUUCUCAGCUGAAGAAAUAUCACGCCGAGAUGGCGGAGGUACCGCUAAUAGAUACAGUGCCACUUGAAACGAUUCAGUUGAAGGAUGACUUAACGUAUGAGGAGAAACCAGUCAAGAUUCUCGAUUAUGCCAGCAGAGUUACCCGCAGCAAGGUUAUCAAGUUUUGCAAAGUUCAGUGGAACCACCACUCAAAGGAUGAAGCCACCUGGGAGAGAGAAGAAGAUUUGCUCAAGGACCACCCUCACCUAUUUUCUAGCCAACCCGAAUCUUGAGGGCGAGAUUCAUCUUAAGGGGGGUAGGUUUGUAACAUCCGAAAUUUUCAAUUUGGAAUGUUAUACAUUAGAUCAUCAAUGCAUAUCAUAUUUUAUUUGCAUUUUGGUCGAUCCUAGAAAUUUCACGCAACUCAAGGACCCUUGGAGAGAGUUGGAGAUUUCGUGACUUUCAUAUUUGAGUUUUCUCAAAUUUUGAAAAGAGGGUCAUUUGAUUUAUUUAUUUCAUCUUCAAUUAUUUUUCCAAUAUCACAAAUAUGAGAGAGGGAAUAAUAUGACUUUCCCAAAUUUAGGAAAAAUGAAGAUUUAAUAAAUAAAUCAAAAUUUGGAUUUCCGGAGUUUAUUUGCCUUUUUUUGGAUUAGGGAAAAAUGCGUGUUUUCAAAAAUUGCAUCUAGGCCCCGAGAAAAGUUAAUUUUGUUCGACUCAUUUUUAGGAGUCGGGGAAAAUUUACAUCGGGAUUUUUGGAGUUCGUUUAGGUUUCUUUUCUUUGUUUUUCUGCGCGCGUAACUAUUUAAAAAAACUCGUAGCGCCCGCCUGGGCCAAGGCCCAGCCGGCCUCCUCCCCGCGCGCAGCCCGCCUGCCGCCGCCGCGCCGAGUCCGGCUCGGACUCCACCGCCGCCGCCCCUUGCUUGCCCCCUCCCCCAAGUCAAGCCCUCCCCCCCCUUUAAAUAGCUAGCACCCCCCCUCUCCUCCCCACGCCGCUGCCCGCCGCCCCANNNNNNNNNNNNNNNNNNNNNNNNNNNNNNNNNNNNNNNNNNNNNNNNNNNNNNNNNNNNNNNNNNNNNNNNNNNNNNNNNNNNNNNNNNNNNNNNNNNNNNNNNNNNNNNNNNNNNNNNNNNNNNNNNNNNNNNNNNNNNNNNNNNNNNNNNNNNNNNNNNNNNNNNNNNNNNNNNNNNNNNNNNNNNNNNNNNNNNNNNNNNNNNNNNNNNNNNNNNNNNNNNNNNNNNNNNNNNNNNNNNNNNNNNNNNNNNNNNNNNNNNNNNNNNNNNNNNNNNNNNNNNNNNNNNNNNNNNNNNNNNNNNNNNNNNNNNNNNNNNNNNNNNNNNNNNNNNNGCCGUCGCUGCCCCGCUGCCUAGCCCCGCCGCCGGAGCCCUCGACGAGGUAGCCCCGCGCCGCGCCACCCUCCCAUCGGUUCGGUUUUUUUGAAAGAAAACCGUUCCGGUUUCUUUCGUCUCUUUGUUUCGGUUUUUUUUCCGAAACCCUAGAUUGGUUUUUCAUUUUUUUUUCUUCGGUUUAGUUGUUUAGCGAGCAUUCACCGGACCGUUCGUCUUAACGAACGUGAUCACCGGUUAUUCCCGGUUAACGAACGUCCAUUCGUUUAACCGUUCUUCGUUUUCUUUCUCGUCGGAUUUAUUCCGCGAUUUUCUGAUCGCGAUUUCAGAUCCAAUCUUCGUUCUAGUUUAUCUUCUCGCUCGUUUAUCGGAAUCAGGUGAUUCAAGUUCCUGGAGUUUCAUUUCGAAACCGCCUUUCCGACUAAUCAACUUAAACAAGUUUUUUCUACCAUAAAAUUUGAUCUAGUUUCAACUUGCUAGAACCGAGUUGUUUUCUUCCGCCGUUUGUUUUCCGUUGCUUUGUUCGGUUCGUUCUUUCUUUGCAACCGGAGUUCUUAAGUUGAACUUUCUGGUUCGAUCUCUUGUUCGAGUUUUACCUGUGCAUUAGAUGAGUACUUAUUGUAUGCUUGUUGUUUGUCUGCGAUAGAUCAUCCGGAGUGCGCCGCUUGUUACUUCGAAUCUCUAGGUUUCGCGGAUCAUCAGCAAGGCAAGUAACACUUUGAUCAUACCUUUUCUACAACCCAGUUUUAUUGCAUUAGAUCAAUCCUCACACAUUGCAUGAUUAGGAUCUAAUUAAAUUGUGGGAUGGGAAGUAGAUGAGGUAGUACCUAUUACCUAUUUAUUAUGAAACCUUUGGGAGUUACUUCUACGUUUGCUUAUUAUGCCAUGCUAUGCUAGUAGACGUGGAUUGGGUGAGUGAUAUCCAUGACAAAUGUGAGUUUGAUAAUUUUAAUGGUUUAUCUAAGGUGGCAACUUAAACACACAUCUGGGUGGAUUGAGGCACCUGGUUUCUAUCAGGACUUGCCUGUUUU
rnacentral:lncRNA from 1 species